GGGGGAGUAGAUUAUGUUUUGCUACUAGAACAUUUUGGCUGGAACAAGCAACAAUCAAAUAGACUAAAGCUAAGAUGUUUACAGUCUCAAAACGUCUGCAUAUCCUAAUAAAAGCCCAUCAAUGCUCAUCUAAGAUUCUAAAAGAUGAGAGGAAUAGGUCUGCAGAACAUUUCGAUGCAAUAAAAAAAUAUAAUAAAAAGAAAAAAAAUGAGGAGUUCGGAAGAAUUAAAUCAAUGACAUGAAUGUUAGUCGCGUUCUGCCAUGCAUGCAAGAAUUGCAUUGUAGCAGAGGCACCAAUACUCUUUGCCAGGGAUAACCAUCCAUGGCAUUGUUGAAGGCAGGCCAGUCCCCAAGGUGGAUGCAGUUCUUUUACCGGUAAGAGCUCCAUAAGCUGAUGUGGUGGCAAAACCAGAAACCCCAGAGAAAACCUUCUUGUAGUGAGGCAAGACUACUUGUCCUAUGCUCAAGAAGUUACUGUGGAGUAUUGAGACCAGAAUACCAGAACUCUCUUCUCCUUCAUCCUUUUGCCGUGAAUUUUCAGAUG
rnacentral:misc_RNA from 1 species